UUGGCCAUACAAAACGGUAAGGACAGUUAGAAGAAGAAAAGGCCUUUAUUAGUAUAAAGGCCUUUUCUUCUUCUAACUGUCCUUACCGUUUUGUAAGGAAACA
rnacentral:miRNA from 1 species